AAGAAACUGCAUAAUCCAAGCCAGGAAGGCACUUUAUCUCUUAUUGAGAAUUGCAAUGAAGGCCAUCACUUUCAUCUUCUUUUACUCUCUAAUUUUAUCCUCACUCCUUGAAUUCUCCAUUGCAUCUGAUACGUUAGUGUCCUCUAGCCAAAGCAAAGAAAGAAACAGUCCAAGAAAGAAACUGCAUAAUCCAAGAAAGGCAUGCACUUUUUCUCUUAUUGAUAACUGCCAAUGAAGGCCUUCAAUUU
rnacentral:lncRNA from 1 species